AGAAUGGAAAUUACAACAAAAAAAUCCUGAUUCUAAUAGAAUAUUAAUUAAAUUCUAAUUAUAUCAUAAUAAUGCUAAGCAAGCUUCAAUAAAAUUAAAAAAAAAACUCAAGAAAUUUCAAACAAAUAAUAAGAAUUCUUAAAGAAAUAUUACAAUGAUCACAAAUAUCACUCAAAUACAUCUCAAUUCAAUCUUAAUUUAAUUCUAGUUAAAAUCCUAUUGAACUUCAUUCAAACUUUAGGCCAAACCUAAUUAAAUCUUAAAUCCUAAUAAAAUCCUAAAUCCUAAAUCAAAUCCUAAACAAACCUUAAACCAAACUCCAACCAAAUCCUAAACCAAACCCUAACCAAAUCCUACACUCUAAAUCAAAUCCUAAACAAAUCUGAAACCAAACAUCAACAAAAUCCUAAACCAAAUCCUAACCAAACCUUAAAUCAAAUCCUAAAUCCUAAAUCAAAUCCUGAACCAAACCCUAAAUCCUAAAUUAAAUCCUAAUCAAAUCCUAAUCCAAAUUCUAAAUCCUAAACCAAACCCUAAUUAAAUCCUAAAUCCUAAAUCAAAUCCUAAAAAAAUCCUAAAUCCUAAAUAAAAUCCUAACCAAAUCCUAAACUCUAAAUCAAACCCUAAUCUAAACCCUAAAUCCUAAACCAAAUCUUAGUAAUUCCUAUAAUAGAUUUAAACCUCAAUAACUAAUGAAUAAACCAUCGAUCUUAACUCAAAUUUUGUACACUUCUAAAAAAAUAAGUUAAAAACAAGCACAAAAAAAUUUAAAAGAAUUCGAGUUCCCAAAUUGAUAUUAAUCUCAAAAAUGUGCUUGGGUAUUGGCCGGCCUCUUUCUCCAAUCUUGAUGCCAAUCUUCCAAAGCCAAUAUUUCUCUUUUGCACCGUUCAAUUGAUCUCAAAAUUCACAUAUACAUAGAAAAACAAGUUAUAUAUCCUCUUACGUAAGUUUCACUUCAAUCCAACUAGUAGAUUGCAAGAAAUCUUAAAAACCUCCACUAGACCUAAAAUUCUAUUUUGUGAGACCUUGACCCACUUAAACCUCAAUAUUCCUCAAUUCAACCGUUAGAUCGAGCUCAAAUUUAUAACACAUAUUAAACACAACUAUAAUCAUAAACCUACAAAAUUUCAUCCAUAGAUCUAUUACAAAACUCUUGAAAUCACCCAAAACGUAAAUCCUAUUUUAUUUCAUAAAACCCAAGUCAUCCGAAACAAACCUUGAUUUUGCAAAGCUCUUACAAAGUCAUAUCAACUCUAUAUCAUCCAAAAUUAAUGUCUAUAGAAACCGUAUCCAAUCUUCUAUCAAACUCUAUUCUCCGAUUUGCCAAAGAGUCUCGGAGUCAUCGUCGAGACUUGGUUUUGUGCGUCAAGGUCUGAUUUUGACACUAGUUCAUAACCGGCCCUCUCCGGGUAUCAACAUCUAGUUUUUUUUUUUUUUUUUUUUUUUUUUUUAGUAAUUUUUAUUAGAAUUUACUCUUAACUUCCUUCUAAAGAUUUCUAUAUCAUUUAUUUUUCCAAUCUACCUUAUUUUGCCUUAUUUUUGGUCCUACAAAGAAAGUAGAGUUAUUUUUUCUAAAAGGGCAGUAUUACUACUAAAUGUUUUAUUACCUUCCUAUCUUUUAUCCAUAUUUUUCUACUUUUUCUUUUAACUUGGCUCUUCUUUAAUAAGAUCCAUAUUAUCAUCUUUCACCAUAUAGUUGUGUUACAAUACGACAUCCACUCCCUCUGAACUUGUGCAUCCUAUGGUAUGCACCAAAUACUCCAACUUUGUUUGAUUGAUAUAGUAUUUUCAAUGUCCUCAUCCAAUUCUUCUUCUUCAUAUUCGCUAUUUAAAUCAAAAUCAUCUUAUUGUCUUAGAAGAUUUAUGUCUUUGACAAAGUCUUCUAUAUUUAUUUAUGUUUACUUUUGUUUGAGUAUCUUCACUUGCUUCCAUUGUCAUCAUCCUUUAAUCCAAUAUAUGCAAUUUUUUCUAAGCAUCUUUCUAUCCAUUUUCUUGAUAAAUACCAAAAAUCUUUCAUCAUCUUCUAAUGUUUCCAACUCACAUAAUUCUUUUUCAUUUUUUUUUUUUUAAUAAAACUUAAAUCAAAGGCAUUUAUAUCUUGUAAAUUUACCUCCCUUUUUAUACUUUAAUAGUCUUAUUUUAUAAUAAUACUUCUCUAUUUUUUUUUUUAAUGCCAAUAUUUCCAUUUACUCCACAUGUGCAAGUAGUUUGCAAAUAUCCUUGUUUGCACAUGACCAAACCAUUAUCGAGGUACAAAAUUUGAAAUGAAAAGAUUGAAUUGAAACCUCUUCCUCAUAGCUACAUAUAUCUUCCUUGUAUCUUUUUUCUUAUUUCUUUGAUUCUAAGUCCCAUUUAAGAUGUCCACGUAAUCUUUAAAUCCAUUUUCUAUGUCUUUAUAUUUGAAGAUUUUUAAAUUUCUAACUCUUGAAUUCCAUACUUGAUGAUGGAUCUUAUCUUUGUCAAAAUCCAAUUGUGUUCCCAUUACAUGUGCAUUAUCUAUGUAACUUUGACCUUGGUCCAAAAGUGAAGUGCUCACAAUUAACUUAAUCAUAGUCAAUGACUUAGCAUCCUUAUCUUUUGUCCCAUAAUCUUCAUUUGUCACAUAAUCUUGUAUAACAUCCUUCAUAUCUUCUUGAAUACAUCCUUGUGAAACAUCAUAAUCUUUUGUUGUCUCAAAGCAUUGUAUAUCCUCAUAAUAUUGAAAAUUCUCAUGUCCUUUUGAAAUCUCAUGCUCUUGAAAAGUCUCAUAACUUUCACAAUAAUCCUUUGUGGUUUCACAACCACAUUUAGUAUCAUAAGCUUGUGCAAUUUCAUAACCCUCUUUAUAUGGAAACUCAUAAUUUAUUUCAUCCAACUCAUAUGUGGUCUCAUAGUCAUAUGUAAUUUGAUUUUCAUCAUCAUAUUCAUGCAUAAUUCCGCCACUUCUCACAUCAUAAUGUUGUGAAUUUAUACAAUCUUCAUGAUUAUAACCUUCAAUAGAUCCAUUAUCUAUUUUUUGUAAAGGUUCAAUCUUAAAUUCUUCAACGCGAUCCAAAGUAUUAGGCAAAAUAUCUUCACCUCGUUCAAAUGUAGAAAAUACCUUUUUAUCACCAAGAUAUUUUCCAUCCAAAUUGCCAUCACCAACUUGCACAAACUUAUUCAAUAUAGAAUAGCCAUAGCUUCCAACUGCAUUGUCAUUAGUUUUCAAAUCCUUAAUCUAUGCAUUACCUUCAAAUUUUUGGAUACCUUGGCCUUCCAUAGUAAUAGUUUGAAAAGUAUCUUUCUUCUUUCCUUCACCACUUUUGGUAUAAGAUCUAAUUUCUUUCAUUUGCAAAGAAUUGGCUUCUCUUUUAAAGUCCCUCAUUUGCUCUUCUAUUUCUCUUUUUUUAAGAUUAUUUCCUUGCAUUGAUAAAGAUGACAUAGAAGCCAAAGUAGAAGAUUUCUUAAGCCAUAUUGAAAUUUCUUUAGCUUUUGCUUCUUGUUGCCUUGCUAAAUCAACCACUACUUCCUUCAAUUUCUCUCAAUUAUCGAUACAAUCAUUCUUUAUAGACUCAUCUACAAGAAGCAUGAAAAGCUCGUCUCCCAAGGCAUCAUUAAGACCAUUUAAAAACAACUCUACCUUUAAAAUUCUCAAUGAUUGUCUCUCUGAGGAUGAGAGUUGAUAAAAUCUCCUAUCAAAUUCUUCCAAGAAUUCAUAAAGAUCCAUAUGCUUGCUUGAUUGCAACUCUAUCCAAUCCAAAAACUUUCGCUUGGUAAUCCUAUCUUCAUAUCCAUCAAUAAAUUCUUUCUUUAAAAGUUCUUGAAAUUUUGACCAUGUUUCUAUACCCCCUUCAAGCAAUCUCUUCACCUUUAUCUGAAAUCUAGGUUCAAUAGCCAAAUGUAAGCUUGAGAUCAUCUUUGCCUCAGGGAUUUGGCAUGUCUCCAUCUCACAUGUGUAAACUUGCAAAAACUUAGUGAUGUUGCAUCCUUCAAACCUCUCAAAUUUGUUGAUGACUCCUUGCAAUACCCUUGUGAUAUCUUUUUCAAUUACUUGCAUUCUUCAUUGCUCCUCCAUGAAUAUAUAGAAGGCCUUAAAAAACUCACUAAUAUUUGAUCCAUCCAUAAUAUUCAACAUAUCUAAAAAUCUUGAUGACACAUCUUCCAUUUUAUUCUACAAUGAUCAAAAAUGUUCUUUGAAAUGCUCUAAUAAAUACCUUAUGUUACUUCAAAAUACUCCAACAUAUCUAUAAAGCCUUAUAAAUCUCCAUGAUAUUCCAAAUAUUGCCAUUGUAUUUUAAAAUAGUCUCCAAAGCUCAAAGAAUCUAAAAGUUCGAAUUCACAUAUCACCCAAAGCUUUUCUUCCAACUUUCUUAUCUUUCUUCUCAAAAAUUCAAAUAAUCCAAGAAAACUAAAUUCCUUCUACCUCAAGCGUUUUACGUCGGGUUCACCAAAUAUGUCAUAUUACAUGAAGUCUUGCUUGAGAAUGCUCCGGACACUUGGCUGUGGAAGGAAGAAUGGAAAUUACAAUAAUAAAAUCCUAUUUUUAAUAGAAUACUAAAAAUACUCUAAUUAGACCAUAAUAAUGCUAAGCAAGCUUAAUCAAAUUCAAAAAAACCUCAAAGAAAUUUCAAACAAAUAAUAAGAAUUCUUAAAGAAAUAUUAAAAGGAUCACAAAUAUCACUCAAAUACAUCUCAAUUCAAUCUUAAUUUAAUUCUAGUUAAAAUCCUAUUGAAAUUCAUUCAAACUUUAGACCAAAACUAAUUCAAUCUUAAAUCCUAAUAAAAUCCUAAAUCCUAAAUAAAAUCCUAACCAAAUCCUAAACUCUAAAUCAAACCCUAAUCUAAACCCUAAAUCCUAAACCAAAUCUUAGUAAUUCCUAUAAUAGAUUUAAACCUCAAUAACUAAUGAAUAAACCAUCGAUCUUAACUCAAAUUUUGUACACUUCUAAAAAAAUAAGUUAAAAACAAGCACAAAAAAAUUUAAAAGAAUUCGAGUUCCCAAAUUGAUAUUAAUCUCAAAAAUGUGCUUGGGUAUUGGCCGGCCUCUUUCUCCAAUCUUGAUGCCAAUCUUCCAAAACCAAUAUUUCUCUUUUGCACCGUUCAAUUGAUCUCAAAAUUCACAUAUACAUAGAAAAACAAGUCAUAUAUCCUCUCACAUAAGUUUCAUUCCAAUCCAACUAGUAGAUUGCAAGAAAUCUUAAAAACCUCUACUAGACCUAAAAUUCUAUUUUGUAAGACCUUGACCCACUUAAACCUCAAUAUUCCUCAAUUCAACUGUUAGAUCGAGCUCAAAUUCAAAACACA
rnacentral:lncRNA from 1 species